AUCAUGGGGGUAAAUUCUUUCCGAAGUUUUCUCGCUCCGCAUUCAUUAAUUACGCUGUUAGAAAAUUUUGCUAUGAAAGUGUAGAUUGGCGGGUAGAUUUUGAACCAGAUCGCAAUGGAGGCAGCUGAGAAGUAAAGGCCGGUGCCAGACAUUUAAACUAGGGAUAUUGCGGAGAUUAGACUGAUGGUGCCAGAGAAUGGGCGCCGGCCACCGGGUGUCCAUUCAUUAGAGUACAGUUAUGUGAAAGCAAACUGCAGCGACUCGUAUUUGGAGAAUUAUCGUGGGUAUCGGUGUCGAGAUUGUCUUCCCUAUACACAUCUAAUACUAAGGAGAUCAAAGUUGUUAGUCACAGGAAGGUGCGGUGGGCAAGGUUCCGCAUCUUUCCACCUUCAACUAGGUUCGAGCUAUUAGUUGUCCCGUAUUACAUUAAGCUCUUUCCCUUGUGCAAGCAACUAAGGUCUGUUCAGUGUCGUAACACCAGUGAUCCUUUUUUUUUUUUUUUUUGUUAUUUUUUCUCCAUCGUUGAGUUCUUUGAUUUAUAAAAUCUUAUGUCUUGCAAUAUCUGAUGCUGGAUAUUAAAACUGUACUUCAGGAUAUUUAUGAAUAACAGUUCUUUCUUAAAAAAAAAAUGUUAAGGUCGAUUUUUAUUCUCCAUUAAGGUGAGGUACACGAGUACUAUAGUUUCUUAAGCUGCUGAGAUACUAAUUACCUAUUCUUUUUGAGAAAGAACAUAUAACUGGUCAUAGCCCAGCGAAUGCACUCCAUUUGGAGUGGAGGAGGUUCGAUGUAGGAGUUCUCCAAAUGUCUGACGCAAGUAACUCUGAUCGAUACCGUUCUCAUCAUUACGUCGAUAAAGAUUUAAAAGCACUCAAACAGCAACUUUGGUGUAUCCAAAUGACAUUAAAGAGUCAAAAUUCAAUCAAACCAGUUGAGUUGCGACGGGGGGCCUGCAGUUGCCUCCUUUUCCUCGAGAGGUGCAUGUCUUCUGGAUAAAAUCAUAGAGCCUGAUAUUAUGUCGCCCGGCGUCAACAUGUUCGAAGCUUGGCCAUUCAAGAUCGGGCGAAAUCAGACGAAAAAAUUAUAAGGUAUUCAGAAUUUCGGUGGCACGUCCCCGACCGCACCCAAAUUGGUUGGUUGCAGCAAUUAAGUCAGCAAUCAUGGUGGUUGCAUACGCACGGGAUCUCUAGGGGAGUCCCAUCGCAGAUCGAUGCAGUAGCACUGCCAGCGCUAUACCAUGACUCGAGACGUGUUGAUCUAUAUCUGGGUUGCACUUGUUAAAUAAUAUUUAAUUAUUUAUUCUUUUAAAAUUUCUCUUGGAUAAGUUUUAUCAGUAAAUCAUUUACUAGUUCCAUGAAGA